CCGCCUGCAGACGCCCCCAGCCCAGGCUCAGCCCGGACGCCUGGGUUCUCAGCGCAGCGGGAGGGCUCCCCCGGGGCGCAGGCGCCGCGCUUAAAGUUGGGCCACGGGGACCGUGACCCCGACAAGGUGCAUCCUUUGUGGCGCUCCCCUCGCCUCCGGGGGGAGCCCCAAUCCCGCGGCCCCAGCCCCACCGCCUCAAUCCAAUCCCAGCCACCCGCACAAAGGGAAAUAAAACCUCCUGCAAUCCCCCUUCACGCUUUCGGAGAGACUUGACCCGCCGCCGCCGGCGCGCGGCAGGUAGGUGGGACUUUGGGGAGGGGGCGCUCAGGCGGACGCCCCAGCCCCUACCAGCCCCCGGGCAGCGACGUCAAGGCCUCUCCGCCUCCCUCCCCCGCGGCUUCCCCCGCCCUCUCCCCUCCCCCAGCGCUCCCCUCGGAGGUGACUGAGACCUUCAGCUGUUCUGGGGAAGGAGGGGGACCGCUGCCCACGGAGGGAGGGGGGAUGCGGGACGGGAGUCGGGGGGCCGAGGCCGCGCGCGGCUGCUGGACACUGACCCGGAGGCCUGAGGCCGGCAGGAGCGAGCGAGGAGCGCGGGAGAGCAUUUUCAUCACCCCGAAAAGAGGCCCUGCAUCCAAUCAGCAGUCACUUUCCAUUCUCUCGAAACUCCAGCCCCUGGAAGCCACUAACCCACGUCCUGUCUGUGGAUGUGCCUGUUCUGGAUAUUCCACGGGUUCCCAGUCUAAUGGGGGAGCCAUGGCCCUGACUUCCAGGGUUCCAAUCUGAUGAAGGAGGCAUGAAUCUGACUUCAGAGGUCCCAGUCUGAUGGGGGAGGCAUAUCCCAGCCUUCACAGGUCCCUGGUCUGAUGGAGGAAGCAUAGCCCUGUCAUCAUGAGUCCCCAGCCUGAUGGGGGAGCCACAGCCCAGCCCUGGAGGCUCCCGCUCUACAGCGUGGUGAUCAAAGGAGCGGCUGGCCUCGGAGCCUUGCAUAUUCAAACCCACGUCCUGCCCCUCACUCACUCUCCAGCCCUCGGCCAAAGAGCCUUCCCUCUUCUGUAAAAUGGAGCGUGUGCCUGAGGGAGUGGGCAGCGAGCUCUGGAGUGGAGGAAGUCUGGUGCAGUGCCAGGCCCCUCAUCUUCUUUGUGAAGCCCAGGCUCGGGCAACAGUGCGCUCCAGCAGGAGGGAGGCCACCCCCAAUCCCAGUCCCUCUGAUGUGCUCCAGCAGCCAGGCAGUCCCCAGGGGAGCUGAUGGAGGAGAUACUGGAUGAGGCCUGACAGCUCCCGAGGACCAGAUGACAGACAUGGAGCUCAAGGGGAAAGGGGACUGUCAGCAGUGAUGGGGGAAGGGCAGGCUCCA